rnacentral:rRNA from 1 species
ACAGCAGCAGCCGCGGUAAUACAGAGGGUGCGAGCGUUAAUCGGAUUUACUGGGCGUAAAGCGUGCGUAGGCGGCUUUUUAAGUCGGAUGUGAAAUCCCUGAGCUUAACUUAGGAAUUGCAUUUGAUACUGGGAAGCUAGAGUAUGGGAGAGGAUGGUAGAAUUCCAGGUGUAGCGGUGAAAUGCGUAGAGAUCUGGAGGAAUACCGAUGGCGAAGGCAGCCAUCUGGCCUAAUACUGACGCUGAGGUACGAAAGCAUGGGGAGCAAACAGGAUUAGAUACCCCGGUAGUCCCUGUCUCUUAUAC